GCAAAACGCGAAGAACCUUACCUACUCUUGACAUCUAGCGAAGAUUGCAGAGAUGCAGUUGUGCCUUCGGGAACGCUAAGACAGGUGCUGCAUGGCUGUCGUCAGCUCGUGUUGUGAAAUGUUGGGUUAAGUCCCGCAACGAGCGCAACCCUUAUCCUUAGUUGCCAGCACGUAAUGGUGGGAACUCUAGGGAGACUGCCGGUGAUAAACCGGAGGAAGGUGGGGACGACGUCAAGUCAUCAUGGCCCUUACGAGUAGGGCUACACACGUGCUACAAUGGUACGUACAGAGGGAGGCAAGCUGGCGACAGUGAGCGGAUCUCUUAAAGCGUAUCGUAGUCCGGAUCGCAGUCUGCAACUCGACUGCGUGAAGUCGGAAUCGCUAGUAAUCGCAAAUCAGAAUGUUGCGGUGAAUACGUUCCC
rnacentral:rRNA from 1 species